rnacentral:rRNA from 1 species
UGAGGAAUAUUGGGCAAUGCCCGCAAGGGUGACCCAGCAACGCCGCGUGGAGGAUGAAUGUCGUAAGAUUGUAGACUCCUGUUAGAGGGGAAGAAUAGUACCGGUUGGACCGGUAUAUGACUGUACCCUCAGAGAAAGCCCCGGCUAACUACGUGCCAGCAGCCGCGGUAAUACGUAGGGGGCAAGCGUUGUCCGGAUUUACUGGGUGUAAAGGGCGCGCAGGCGGGAUAAAAAGUCAGUGGUGAAAUCCUACAGCUUAACUGUAGAACUGCCUUUGAUACUUUUAUUCUUGAGUUCGGGAGAGAGAGACGGAAUUCCAGGUGUAGUGGUGAAAUACGUAGAUAUCUGGAAGAACACCAGUUGCGAAGGCGGUCUCUUGGUCCGACACUGACGCUGAGGCGCGAAAGCGUGGGGAGCAAACA